rnacentral:rRNA from 1 species
CCCUUAGAUGUUCUGGGCUGCACGCGCGCUACACUGAUGCAUUCAACGAGUGUUUAUCCUUGCCCGAUAGGGUUGGGUAAUCUUGUUAACGUGCAUCGUGAUGGGGAUAGACUCUUGCAAUUAUUAGUCUUGAACGAGGAAUUCCUAGUAAAUGCGAGUCAUCAGCUCGUAUUGAUUACGUCCCUGCCCUUUGUACACACCGCCCGUCGCUCCUACCGAUCGAAGAGUUAGGUGAAUUGUUUUGAUCGAUAAGAUUUGACUAUGGUCAACUCUCGUUGUGAAAUUCUGUGAAUCUGACUGUUUAGAGGAAGGAAAAGUCGUAACA